rnacentral:rRNA from 1 species
CUACGGGUGGCUCCAGUGGGGAAUAUUGGACAAUGGGGGAAACCCUGAUCCAGCAAUGCCGCGUGUGUGAAGAAGGCCUGCGGGUUGUAAAGCACUUUCGGUUGGGAGGACUGCUUCUAGCACUAAUAUUGUCGGAAGUUGACGUUACCUUCAGAAGAAGCACCGGCUAACUCCGUGCCAGCAGCCGCGGUAAUACGGAGGGUGCAAGCGUUAAUCGGAAUUACUGGGCGUAAAGCGCGCGUAGGCGGCUAGAUCAGUCGGGUGUGAAAGCCCCGGGCUUAACCUGGGAACUGCAUCCGAUACUGUCUAGCUUGAGUACAGGAGAGGAGAGUGGAAUUCCACAUGUAGCGGUGAAAUGCGUAGAUAUGUGGAGGAACACCAAUGGCGAAGGCAGCUCUCUGGCCUGAUACUGACGCUUAGGUGCGAAAGCGUGGGGAGCAAACAGGAUUAGAUACCCUCGUAGUC